rnacentral:rRNA from 1 species
CAUUAAGAUACUAAGGGCGUAUGGUGGAUGCCUUGGCACCGGAAGCCGAUGAAGGACGUGGCAAGCUGCGAUAAGCCACGGGGAGCCGCAGGCGGGCUGUGAUCCGUGGAUCUCCGAAUGGGGAAACCCGGCGGGAGUCAUUUCCCGUCACCCGCACCUGAACGCAUAGGGUGCGAGGAGGGAACCCGGGGAACUGACACAUCUUAGUACCCGGAGGAAAAGAAAGAAAGCCUCGAUUCCCUGAGUAGUGGCGAGCGAAAGGGGAGGAGCCCAAACCGACCCUCGUGGAAGCCUGCGGGCGUUGCGAGGGCGGGGUUGUAGGGCCGGGCGUGGCCGCUCCGCAGGGCGGCCGGGGAGUUACAAAUCGCGCGGGUAGCCGAACCGGGAUGGAUAAUCUCGGCCGCAGAGGGUGAAAGCCCCGUAGGCGAAACUCGGGCGACUCCCUGUCCUGGUACCUGAGUAGGUCCGGACACGUGAAACCCGGAUCGAAUCCGCGGGGACCACCCCGCAAGGCUAAAUACUAACGGUGACCGAUAGUGAACCAGUACCGUGAGGGAAAGGUGAAAAGUACCCCGCAAGGGGGGUGAAAGAGUACCUGAAACCAUACGCCUACAAGCGGUCGGAGCAGCGGUUCUACUGCUGUGACGGCGUACUUUUUGCAUAACGGGCCAGCGAGUUGCUGGUGCCUGGCGAGGUUAAGCUUUACGGAGCGAGCCGCAGCGAAAGCGAGUCUGAACAGGGCGUCUAGUCAGGUGCCGCAGACCCGAAACCGGGUGAGCUAUCCAUGGCCAGGCUGAAGCGGGGGUAAGACCUCGUGGAGGGCCGAACCGACUCGGGUUGAAAACCGGGCGGAUGAGCUGUGGAUAGGAGUGAAAGGCUAAUCAAACCCGGCGAUAUCUGGUUCUCCCCGAAAUAUAUUUAGGUAUAGCCUGGCGUGUUUCGUCGCGGGUGUAGAGCACUGUUUGAGUGCGGGGCCCUACAAGGUUACCAAUCUCAGACAAACUCCGAAGACCGUGGACGUUAGAGCGCCGGAGUCAGGGGCCGGGGGAUAAACUUCGGUCCCGAGAGGGAAACAACCCAGACCGCCGGCUAAGGCCCCUAAAUAACGGCUAAGUGGCAAAGGAUGUGGCGCUGCACAGACAACCAGGAUGUUGGCUUAGAAGCAGCCAUCAUUUAAAGAGUGCGUAAUAGCUCACUGGUCAAGUGGUGUUGCGCCGAAAAUUCAGCGGGACUUAAGCCGUUUGCCGAAGCCGCGGACUUCGGCCUUGUGCUGGAGUGGUAGGGGAGCAUCCUGUCGCGGAUGAAGCGGCGGCGUGAGCUUGAGCCGUGGACGCAUCAGGAGAGAGAAUGCUGGCAUGAGUAACGAAAGACAGGCGAGAAACCUGUCCGCCGAAUGCCCAAGGGUUCCUGGGUAAAGCUAAUCUGCCCAGGGUUAGUCGGGACCUAAGCCGAGGGCGAAAGCCGUAGGCGAUGGACAGCAGGUUGAUAUUCCUGCACCACGGGCGUGGCGUCUGAGCGAUGGAGGGACGGAGAAGGGUAGGCCAACCGUGGCGCUGGUCGACCACGGGCUUGCUCGUAGGGCGGGGACCAGGAAAAUCCGGGCCCCGUUACAGGCCUGAGGAGUGAGCCGAAACCCUUCGGGGCGAAGUGGCUGAACCCAUGCUUCCGGGAAAAGCUUCUAAGCGAGUCACGCACGUGCCCGUACCCCAAACCGACACAGGUGGGCGAGUGGAGAACACUAAGGCGAUCGAGCGAACUCUGGUCAAGGAACUCGGCAAACUGUCCCCGUAACUUCGGGAGAAGGGGAGCUCUGGACGGUGAGGGUCCACGCGGCCCAGAGCUGUCCGGAGCCGCAGAGAAUAGGCCCAGGCGACUGUUUAUCAAAAACACAGGUCUCUGCUAAGUCGAAAAGACGACGUAUAGGGGCUGACGCCUGCCCAAUGCCAGAACGUUAAGGAAGGGGGUUAGCCUUCGGGCGAAGCUCCCGACCGAAGCGCUGGUCAAUGGCGGCGGUAACUAUAACCGUCCUAAGGUUAGUAACGCUAGCCUUAGUAAAACCGAACCAUAUGCGGGGAACUCCUAAAGCCGUCCGGUACUAGCCGGUAUACUUAUAUCGGCAGUAAAAAUCCGGCGGAUACAUGGACAAUCCGCAGGGAAGGCCCGCAGCUGCAGCGGGAACCCUCAGAGACUUUACGUUCGGGGUUGGCCGAUGAAGCUUGACGCAGGGUGGAUAACAGGCUUCGUGGAUGGUGAAGGUUGCUUCUUCGUCGGGAUCAACGAGCAUCCCGAGAUGAGCGCCGGAUAUCAGGUUCUGCCUGAAUUCACUGUCGUGCGGCACGAGCGCGAUGUGCAGCUUCUGUACGCGCUGAAGGCUUACUUCGGUUGCGGCGUGGUUCGCAAGGACCACGGUGACCGGAUGGCCUACCGCGUGAGGGGUAAGGAGCAUCUGCUCCGGCACAUCGUUCCAUUCUUCGUUAAGCACCCGCUGAAGUCCAGGAAGCGCGUGGAAUUUCAAAAGUUCCGCCGCAUCCUGUUGAUGAUGGAGGCGGGCGAUCAUCUGACAGCGGAGGGUGUUGAAGAGAUUCGACGCCUCGCCGCGCAGGUGAAUCGAGGCCAGCUAAGAUAAAGUCCGGCCCUUCUGGAAACAGUUGGGAGUGUCCGAGCGAAAUUCCUUGUCGGGUAAGUUCCGACCUGCACGAAAGGCGUAACGAUCUGGGCGCUGUCUCGACCAGAGGCUCGGUGAAAUUGUAGUAUCGGUGAAGAUGCCGAUUACCCGCGGAAAGACGGAAAGACCCCGUGAACCUUUACUGUAACCUGGCAUUGGAUGCUGACACACCUUGUGCAGGAUAGGAGGGAGGCUGGGAAGCCGGGACGCCAGUCUCGGUGGAGCCGUCCUUGAGAUACCUCCCUGGGUGUGUUGGUGUUCUAACCCCGCGCCGUGAUCCGGGUGGGGAACAGUGUCAGGCGGGCAGUUUGACUGGGGCGGUCGCCUCCUAAACGGUAACGGAGGCGCCCAAAGGUUCCCUCAGCACGGUCGGAAAUCGUGCGCAGAGUGCAAAGGCAUAAGGGAGCUUGACUGUGAGACCGACGGGUCGAGCAGGGACGAAAGUCGGGCUUAGUGAUCCGGCGGUAACGAGUGGAAGUGCCGUCGCUCAACGGAUAAAAGGUACUCCGGGGAUAACAGGCUUAUCGCUGCCAAGAGUUCACAUCGACGCAGCGGUUUGGCACCUCGAUGUCGGCUCAGCGCAUCCUGGGGCUGGAGUAGGUCCCAAGGGUUGGGCUGUUCGCCCAUUAAAGCGCUACGCGAGCUGGGUUCAGAACGUCGUGAGACAGUUCGGUCCCUAUCUUCCGUGGGCGCAGGAGACUUGAGGGGAGCGACUCCUAGUACGAGAGGACCGGAGUGGACGCACCUCUGGUGUACCGGUUGUCCUGCCAAGGGCACCGCCGGGUAGCUAUGUGCGGAAGGGAUAACCGCUGAAGGCAUCUAAGCGGGAAGCCCACCCCAAGAUGAGGUCUCCCCCCCUUCUAGGGGGUAAGGCCCCUGGUAGACCACCAGGUUGAUAGGCCACAGGUGUAAGUGCGGCGACGCAUUGAGCCGAGUGGUACUAAUAGGCCGAGGGCUUAAUG